rnacentral:misc_RNA from 1 species
GAUGAAGAACGUAGCGAAAUGCGAUAAGUAAUGUGAAUUGCAGAAUUCAGUGAAUCAUCGAAUCUUUGAACGCACAUUGCGCCCGCCAGUAUUCUGGCGGGCAUGCCUGUCCGAGCGUCAUUUCAACCCUCGAACCCCUCCGGGGGGUCGGCGUUGGGGAUCGGCCCUUUACGGGGCCGGCCCCGAAAUACAGUGGCGGUCUCGCCGCAGCCUCUCCUGCGCAGUAGUUUGCACACUCGCAUCGUGAGCGCGGCGCGUCCACAGCCGUUAAACACCCCAAACUUCUGAAAUGUUGACCUCGGAUCAGGUAGGAAUACCCGCUGAACUUAAGCAUAUCAAUAAGCGGAGGA